GACGAACGCUGGCGGCGUGCUUAACACAUGCAAGUCGAACGGAAAGGCCCCUUCGGGGGUACUCGAGUGGCGAACAGGUGAGUAACACGUGAGUAACCUGCCCUUGACUUCGGGAUAACUUCAGGAAACUGGGGCUAAUACCGGAUAGGAAUCCUUGCUGCAUGGUGGGGGUUGGAAAGCUUCGGCGGUUUUGGAUGGACUCGCGGCUUAUCAGCUUGUUGGUGGGGUAGUGGCUUACCAAGGCUUUGACGGGUAGCCAGCCUGAGAGGGCGACCGGCCACAUUGGGACUGAGAUACGGCCCAGACUCCUACGGGAGGCAGCAGUGGGGAAUAUUGCACAAUGGGCGGAAGCCUGAUGCAGCAACGCCGCGUGCGGGAUGACGGCCUUCGGGUUGUAAACCGCUUUCAGCAGGGGCGAAGCUUGUGGUGACGGUACCUGCAGAAGAAGCACCGGCUAACUACGUG
rnacentral:rRNA from 1 species